rnacentral:ncRNA from 2 species
CCCGAACGACAGGGGAGCGUCGUCCGGGCCCCCACCGGACGCAGGACGCUGAGAGUGCGGAACUCCGCAGACCCUCGAACCUGAUCCGGUUCACACCGGCGUAGGGAGUCGGGAUUCUCAGGGC